GACGAACGCUGGCGGCGUGCUUAACACAUGCAAGUCGAACGGAAAGGCCCUGCUUUUGUGGGGUGCUCGAGUGGCGAACGGGUGAGUAACACGUGAGUAACCUGCCCUUGACUUUGGGAUAACUUCAGGAAACUGGGGCUAAUACCGGAUAGGAGCUCCUGCUGCAUGGUGGGGGUUGGAAAGUUUCGGCGGUUGGGGAUGGACUCGCGGCUUAUCAGCUUGUUGGUGGGGUAGUGGCUUACCAAGGCUUUGACGGGUAGCCGGCCUGAGAGGGUGACCGGCGACAUUGGGACUGAGAUACGGCCCAGACUCCUACGGGAGGCAGCGGUGGGGAGUAUUGCACAAUGGGCGGAAGCCUGAUGCAGCGACGCCGCGUGCGGGAUGACGGCCUUCGGGUUAUAAACCGCUUUCGCCUGUGACGAAGCGUGCGUGACGGUAAUGGGUAAAGAAGCACCGGCUAACUACGUG
rnacentral:rRNA from 1 species